CGGAAGCGGGAGGCUGCAGGGGCGGGCAGGCGGGCGGGCAGGUUGGCGUCCUCUUUCCGGCUGGUCCCCAUGGAGGCGCUGGGGAAGCUGAAGCAGUUCGAUGCCUACCCCAAGACUCUGGAGGACUUCCGGGUUAAGACCUGCGGGGGCGCCACGGUGACCAUUGUCAGUGGCCUUCUCAUGCUGCUACUGUUCCUGUCCGAGCUGCAGUAUUACCUCACCACUGAGGUGCAUCCUGAACUCUACGUGGACAAGUCACGGGGAGAUAAACUGAAGAUCAACAUCAAUGUGCUUUUUCCACACAUGCCGUGUGCCUAUCUGAGCAUUGAUGCCAUGGAUGUUGCUGGGGAGCAGCAGCUGGAUGUGGAACACAACCUGUUCAAAAAACGGCUAGAUAAGGAUGGCUUUCCCGUGAGCUCAGAGGCGGAACGUCAUGAGCUCGGGAAAGUUGAGAUGAAGGUGUUUGACCCUGAUUCCCUGGACCCUAAUCGCUGUGAGAGCUGCUAUGGUGCCGAGACGGAAGACAUCAAGUGCUGUAACUCCUGUGAGGAUGUGCGGGAGGCAUAUCGCCGUCGAGGCUGGGCCUUCAAGAACCCAGACACUAUUGAGCAGUGCCGGCGAGAGGGCUUCAGCCAGAAGAUGCAGGAGCAGAAGAAUGAAGGCUGCCAGGUGUACGGCUUCUUGGAAGUCAACAAGGUGGCGGGAAACUUCCACUUUGCCCCCGGGAAGAGCUUCCAGCAGUCCCACGUGCACGUACAUGCUGUGGAGAUCCAUGACCUGCAGAGCUUUGGCCUCGACAAUACAGGAGCAGGACAGGCGCCGGAGCUGGGAGAUCUGGGGCGCCUCCAGGCAAAGCCAGCACCUGCCACACAGGGCCCAUGUCCAGUCUGUGCUUGGCUAAUGGAUCAACAUGACCCACUACAUCCAGCACCUGUCAUUCGGGGAGGACUACCCAGGCAUUGUGAACCCCCUGGACCACACCAACGUCACUGCACCCCAAGCCUCCAUGAUGUUCCAGUACUUUGUGAAGGUGGUGCCCACGGUGUACAUGAAGGUAGAUGGGGAGGUGCUGAGGACAAAUCAGUUCUCUGUGACCAGACAUGAGAAGGUCGCCAAUGGGCUGAUGGGCGAUCAGGGGCUUCCUGGAGUCUUCGUGCUGUACGAGCUCUCGCCCAUGAUGGUGAAGCUGACGGAGAAGCACAGUGGCCGGACUCAUCGACUCUCUCAUCUACCACUCGGCUCGAGCCAUCCAGAAGAAAAUUGAUCUAGGGAAGACAACAUAGUUGUCCGUCCUUCCCCCCCAACAAGUCCCUGUUUUCCUUUGGCCUUGUGGUCAUUUUCCCAGCCUCUUACCCCACCCACCCCGCACACCCCCUCUGCAAAGAGUCAGUCGCGGCCCCAGGUUGGUAAAUCUAUCGAUUGUGAUAGUACUCGCUGGUCUCUGUGUGGUUCUUGGGUCUGGCUGGAGCGUGGGAACAACCCUCAUCACAGCCACUUAUCAAAGGCAGUCAGGACUGACUUUGCAGAGCCAGGUGCCCCUGGGAGGCCCACGUGGACAUCCCUGCUUAAUAGGACUUGAUUCAAACCAGACUGAUGUUCACUCCACAGCCCCAUCAUCAGUCCCUCCCACCGUGGCCUUCAGGCCUUUUAGGUUCAGCCCCAGGGCUUAGAUGGACCUGUCCAGGAUGAGCUUCCUGGAGUCAUCCUGGCCCCCAGCCUUGUGAGUUUCCGACCCCACUGGUAAUAGGCCCUGGCUGCAGGCUGGGGGUUGCCACCUCAGUGGUGGCUAAAGCUGGGGCCCCUCCCUGCCACCCUGAGCUCAGUCACCUGAUCCCCUCCUGCUCACUGACCCUGCGACGUGCCAAGUGCCUGCUGGCUCCUGGUGCCCAGAAGGGUACAGCCAGGUCCUUUGCAAUUUCCUGGGUGGACACAGAACUGAAAAACGGGGAGGGAAGGUAGCAGUGGCCAUUCUGAAGCAGGGCUAGCAUCAGACUCUGGCUCUGGACCUAGUCAGGCCUUCCCAUUACAGCCCUUAAGAUGUGUGGGGAACCGGCCCUGAGACCUCACCACUGCACAGCCCAGGCAACCAGGGACAUUAGUAGCUGGUCAGUUCAGCCAGUCAUUUCUCAGGGAGUUUCAGUGUAAGACAGUAGUGGGGGGAGAAGCGGAGGACAGAAAGCAGACUAGGGCAAUGACAGCAAAACUUCUGGAGGCAGCCGGACAUGAGACCCAGCUCUGAUGUGGCCACUUACGAGCUGUGACCUUGGACGUGUUAUUGGUGGGCCCUUGUCUCAUUUAUGAAUUGCGGGUGAUAUUGUCAGCUGUAGUGAGCCUUGUUUUAUUGGUCACCCAGGAACCAGUCCCCCUUGUUAAGGUAUCCUGGGUUUCCUCUGGGAACCUCCCUGCCCACUGUCAGCUUGUGUGAUUUGGGAAGAGGGCUGAUCUCCCACCCUAAGCCCCAGGGGAGGGCCCCAAUCAGCAUAUCCCAUCCCACACCCACACCCCAGUGACCCAGAGCAAGCUAGCAUCUGUCAGGCCUAGGAAAGCUUUCUUUCCUUCCGGACAUGAGUAUGGGGAGACGUGGGGUUGCUGCAGUCAUCCUGCACUUCUGAGGAGAGACCCUGUCUGCAAAUGAUCUUCCCCUGAGGACUGCAGCGCCAAGCUCAGGCAGAGAACCAGUCCUAGUGACAUUGUUUGAACCCUGAGACAAACAGCACCUGAAGCCAACCAAUUCCUGGGAAUUACAGCUGUGUAAGCCAAUAAAUUCCCUUUUUGCUUAA